CCUACGGGAGACUGCAGUGAGGAAUAUUGGUCAAUGGCCGUAAGGCUGAACCAGCCAAGUCGCGUGAAGGAAGAAGGAUCUAUGGUUUGUAAACUUCUUUUAUAGGGGAAUAAAGGUAUCCACGUGUGGAUAUUUGCAUGUACCCUAUGAAUAAGCAUCGGCUAACUCCGUGCCAGCAGCCGCGGUAAUACGGAGGAUGCGAGCGUUAUCCGGAUUUAUUGGGUUUAAAGGGUGCGUAGGUUGUUUUUUAAGUCAGCGGUGAAAGUUUGUGGCUCAACCAUAAAAUUGCCGUUGAAACUGGAAGACGUGAGUGUGUUUGAGGUAGGCGGAAUGCGUGGUGUAGCGGUGAAAUGCAUAGAUAUCACGCAGAACUCCGAUUGCGAAGGCAGCUUACUAAGCCAUAACUGACACUGAAGCACGAAAGCGUGGGGAUCAAACAGGAUUAGAUACCCGAGUAGUC
rnacentral:rRNA from 1 species